GCACUCCCGGGGCGUCUCUAUCUCAUUGCGAGAGGAGGCGCACCUAGAGCGUACACGCUGAUACCCGAAAGAUGGUGAACUAUGCCUGGCCAGGACGAAGCCAGGGGAAACCCUGGUGGAGGUCCGCAGCGAUUCUGACGUGCAAAUCGAUCGUCGGAGCUGGGUUUAGGGGCGAAAGACCAAUCGAACCAUCUAGUAGCUGGUUCCCUCUGAAGUUUCCCUCAGGAUAGCUUGCGCUCGGAAACAACGAGUCUCAUCCGGUAGAGCGAAUGAUUAGAGGCCUUGGGGUCGAAACGACCUCAACCUAUUCUCAAACUCCAAAUAGAUGAGAACCCCGGCUUUCUUGAACUCUGUUUAUGAAGCCGGGGGCUCGGAUCAGAGUGCCAAGUGGGCCAAUUUUGGUAAGCAGAACUGGCGCUGUGGGAUGAACCAAACGCGGAGUUAAGGCGCCUCAAUCGACGCUCAUGUGAAACCAUGAAAGGCGUUGGUUGCUUAAGACAGCAG
rnacentral:rRNA from 6 species